UACGGAGGGUGCAAGCGUUGUCCGGAAUCACUGGGCGUAAAGGGCGCGUAGGCGGCCCGGUAAGUCGGGGGUGAAAUCCUGCGGCUUAACCGCAGGGCUGCCUUCUAAACUGUCGGGCUCGAGCACGGUAGAGGCAGAUGGAAUUCCCGGUGUAGCGGUGGAAUGCGUAGAGAUCGGGAAGAACAUCAGUGGCGAAGGCGGUCUGCUGGGCCGUUGCUGACGCUGAGGCGCGAAAGCGUGGGGAGCAAACAGG
rnacentral:rRNA from 1 species